AUGAACGCUGGCGGCGUGCUUAACACAUGCAAGUCGAGCGAAGCACUUACCAUUGACUCUUCGGAAGAUUUGGUAAAUGACUGAGCGGCGGACGGGUGAGUAACGCGUGGGUAACCUGCCUCAUACAGGGGAAUAACAGUUAGAAAUGGCUGCUAAUGCCGCAUAAGCGCACAGUACCGCAUGGUACGGUGUGAAAAACCGAGGUGGUAUGAGAUGGACCCGCGUCUGAUUAGGUAGUUGGUGGGGUAACGGCCUACCAAGCCGACGAUCAGUAGCCGGCCUGAGAGGGUGAACGGCCACAUUGGGACUGAGACACGGCCCAGACUCCUACGGGAGGCAGCAGUGGGGAAUAUUGCACAAUGGGGGAAACCCUGAUGCAGCGACGCCGCGUGAAGGAAGAAGUAUCUCGGUAUGUAAACUUCUAUCAGC
rnacentral:rRNA from 1 species